rnacentral:rRNA from 1 species
GAUGAACGCUAGCGGGAGGCUUAACACAUGCAAGUCGUGGGGCAGCAUUAGGUAGCAAUACUUAGAUGGCGACCGGCGCACGGGUGAGUAACGCGUAUGCAACCUACCCAGUACAGGGGGAUAGCCCGGAGAAAUUCGGAUUAAUACCCCAUAAUGAUAUAGAGAGGCAUCUUUUUAUAUUUAAAGCUUCGGCGGUACUGGAUGGGCAUGCGUAAGAUUAGCUAGUUGGUAGGGUAACGGCCUACCAAGGCUCCGAUCUUUAGGGGUCCUGAGAGGGUGAUCCCCCACACUGGUACUGAGACACGGACCAGACUCCUACGGGAGGCAGCAGUGAGGAAUAUUGGUCAAUGGGCGCAAGCCUGAACCAGCCAUCCCGCGUGAAGGAAGAAUGCGCUAUGCGUUGUAAACUUCUUUUCCGGAGGAAUAAAAUCUUGUACGCGUACAGGACUGAAGGUACUCCGGGAAUAAGCAUCGGCUAACUCCGUGCCAGCCGCCGCGGUAAAAC